rnacentral:rRNA from 1 species
UACGUAGGGUGCAAGCGUUAAUCGGAAUUACUGGGCGUAAAGCGUGCGCAGGCGGUUUUGUAAGUCUGUCGUGAAAUCCCCGGGCUCAACCUGGGAAUGGCGAUGGAGACUGCAAGGCUAGAGUUUGGCAGAGGGGAGUAGAAUUCCACGUGUAGCAGUGAAAUGCGUAGAUAUGUGGAGGAAUACGAUGGCGAAGGCAGCCCCCUGGGUCAAAACUGACGCUCAUGCACGAAAGCGUGGGGAGCAAACAGG